GGGAAGAGAUGGAUGCAGCGGAGUAUUAUAUAUGUCACAGUGAAAAUCAACAAAUAAAAGAGGAGUAUCCACAUAAUAAUGUGUGAAUUCUAACCUUGAUGACAUGAAGCAAAAUUUGAAACCUUAAGCAUCCAAUGUAUUGAUGUGGAAGAUCAUAUUCACACACAAAGAAAACGGGAAGAGAUAAAUGCAGUAGAAGAAGCCAACACACGUUCACAUGUAUUACAUAAUAAUAUGGCAUACAUCAAAUGAGUGAAGAAAUAAAAC
rnacentral:misc_RNA from 1 species